rnacentral:rRNA from 1 species
ACGGAAGGCAGCAGUGGGGAAUAUUGGACAAUGGGGGAAACCCUGAUCCAGCGACGCCGCGUGAGUGAAGAAGUAUUUCGGUAUGUAAAGCUCUAUCAGCAGGGAAGAUAAUGACGGUACCUGACUAAGAAGCCCCGGCUAACUACGUGCCAGCAGCCGCGGUAAUACGUAGGGGGCAAGCGUUAUCCGGAUUUACUGGGUGUAAAGGGAGCGUAGACGGCAAGACAAGUCUGAAGUGAAAGGCAUGGGCUCAACCUGUGGACUGCUUUGGAAACUGCCUUGCUUGAGUGCCGGAGGGGUAAGCGGAAUUCCUAGUGUAGCGGUGAAAUGCGUAGAUAUUAGGAGGAACACCAGUGGCGAAGGCGGCUUACUGGACGGUAACUGACGUUGAGGCUCGAAAGCGUGGGGAGCAAACAGGAUCAGAUACCCUGGUA